rnacentral:piRNA from 1 species
UUAGAUAACUUUCAAGGAGUCUACAGUGA